AAGUCGUAACAAGGUAUCCGUAGGUGAACCUGCGGAUGGAUCAUUACCGAAGCGUGGCGCCUCUAGGCUUUUGUCUAGAAGGCGUCGCCAACCCACCCUUGUGCAACGUAACGUACCCUGGUGGUUCGGCGCCGGCGGCUAGCCGGCAAAGGCCACCGAAGGGCCCCUUGGGUCCGACCAACUCGUCUACGUAAAGUCUGAAUUUAACGUAAUGAAUGGUUCAAACAACUUUUGACAACGGAUCUCUUGGCUCUCGCAACGAUGAAGAACGCAGCGAAAUGCGAUACGUAAUGUGAAUUGCAGAAUUCCGUGAAUCAUCGAAUCUUUGAACGCAUCUUGCGCUUCUCGGUAUUCCGGGAAGCAUGCCUGUUUGAGUCUCAGUUGACUCUCACCUCUGGUGGACCUGAGCGGCUCGGCGUUAACGCCCGCUGCUUAAAAUGUAUGCAGCCGGCCGCUAGAGUGCACGCGCUCCGAUGGCUUGAUAGAAUCCCUUCGGAUUUGACAGCUAGCGGAUCGAGUUCGUCUCUAGAUGCACGGUGACUGAAUGCGGAUUUCGCGGUUCGCACUCGACACCUUGAGCUCAAAUCAGGCAAGACUACCCGCUGAACUUA
rnacentral:rRNA from 1 species